GAUGAACGCUGGCGGCGUGCCUAAUACAUGCAAGUCGAGCGAAUGGAUUAAGAGCUUGCUCUUAUGAAGUUAGCGGCGGACGGGUGAGUAACACGUGGGUAACCUGCCCAUAAGACUGGGAUAACUCCGGGAAACCGGGGCUAAUACCGGAUAACAUUUUGAACCGCAUGGUUCGAAAUUGAAAGGCGGCUUCGGCUGUCACUUAUGGAUGGACCCGCGUCGCAUUAGCCAGUUGGUGAGGUAACGGCUCACCAAGGCAACGAUGCGUAGCCGACCUGAGAGGGUGAUCGGCCACACUGGGACUGAGACACGGCCCAGACUCCUACGGGAGGCAGCAGUAGGGAAUCUUCCGCAAUGGACGAAAGUCUGACGGAGCAACGCCGCGUGAGUGAUGAAGGCUUUCGGGUCGUAAAACUCCGUUGUUAGGGAAGAACAAGUGCUAGUUGAAUAAGCUGGCACCUUGACGGUACCUAACCAGAAAGCCACGGCUAACUACGUGCCAGCCGCCGCCGUAA
rnacentral:rRNA from 1 species